AGAGUUUGAUCCUGGCUCAGGAUAAACGCUGGCGGCGUGCCUAACACAUGCAAGUCGAACGCUCUUCGCAAGAAGGGAGUGGCGGACGGGUGAGGAACACGUGGGUUAUCUGCCCUGGGGUGAGGAAUACCGGCGAGAAAUCGCCGACAAUACCGCAUAGCCUCGCAAGAGGAAAGUCGCAAGACGCCCGAGGAUGAGCC
rnacentral:rRNA from 1 species